rnacentral:rRNA from 1 species
GGGGAAUUGUUCGCAAUGGGCGCAAGCCUGACGACGCAACGCCGCGUGGAGGAUGAAGGUCUUCGGAUUGUAAACUCCUGUCGAACGGGACGAACACCUUUCGGUUUAAUACUCCGAGAGGCUGACGGUACCGCGAGAGGAAGCCCCGGCUAACUCUGUGCCAGCAGCCGCGGUAAUACAGCGGGGGCAAGCGUUGUUCGGAAUUACUGGGCGUAAAGAGUGUGUAGGUGGUGUCGUAAGUUUGGUGUGAAAUCUCCCGGCUUAACUGGGAGGGUGCGCCGAAGACUGCGAUGCUGGAGUAUGGGAGAGGAAAGCGGAAUUCCUGGUGUAGCGGUGAAAUGCGUAGAUAUCAGGAGGAACACCUGCGGUGUAGACGGCUUUCUGGACCAUUACUGACACUGAGACACGAAAGCGUGGGUAGCAAA